GUCUACGGCCAAACCACCCUGAAAGCAUCUGAUCUUUUCUUAUCUGGAAAGCUAAGCAGGGUUGGGCCUGGUUAGUGCUUGGAUGUGAAACUGAGAAAUAGAUUGGCUAGGUAGCUU
ensembl:rRNA 5S_rRNA 5S ribosomal RNA